AACGCACAUUGCGCCCGCCAGUAUUCUGGCGGGCAUGCCUGUUCGAGCGUCAUUUCAACCAUCAAGCCCUGUGCUUGUGUUGGGGGCCUGCGGCUGCCGCAGCCCCCUAAAAGCAGUGGCGGGCUCGCUGUCAUUCCGAGCGCAGUAACUUAUCUCGCUUUGGUCGUGGCGGUGGGCACCUGCCGUAAAACACUCUUUUUCACAAGGUUGACCUCGGAUCAGGUAGGAAUACCCGCUGAACUUAA
rnacentral:misc_RNA from 1 species